GCAGCCUGAGGAGCAGGUUUUCCUUUAAUAGAAGUUGAUCAGUAACUCAUUAAAAGAUGAUUCAUCAAAACAACACAUAAUAUAAAAGAAGUACAUGGAGUAUAAGUAAUUUGACACACAUUAAAACCACCAACACUCCAUUAUGAACAACAAUUUGAAGCAAGUUCCCAAGACACCAGGCAUCAUCAAGAUUCCAGCACAAGUUACAACAAAUGGUUAAUAAGAAGUUUUACAGAACUUGCAAACAUAAAAAGUAGCAGCUCAUGAUGAUCUGGAAGAGUUGAACUGUUAAUCUAGAUAUAAUAUAAUUACAGUGGGAGAACACUCAUCGAUGUAUAAGAUCCAUGACCAUACAUGAUGUGAAUAUCAAUUUAGGUAUAAAAUCCAUACCCAAAACCUCUGAAAAAUUUGCAUACCUAAGUUCCAAGUUCUGAUUCACUACAGGAGCAAGACACAUUAAAGUUUGGUAUCAACUCAAACAAUUUAGUAUGUUCACCACAACAUAAUUAAGAAUGUCUACAUGUGAUCAAGUAACAAAGCAAAGCCAAAACUAAAUACAAAAGCAAUACAUCUAAAUAUCAACUUCGUUGGAUUAAAAAAAGAUUUAAACUCUAUACUGACCACUUACAGAUUUACUAUAUGCAUUCAACCUAUAAAACUAAAGCCAAAAAUUUAAAUACUGAACAGAAGUUACAGAACCCACAAGUCGAACAGAUGCAAAAACUAGGAGGAUGUGUUACCAAGAAACCCAAUUCCCAAAUGACCAUUCAUAUUAAGCAAACACGAAUAUCAAAAUCAAUAGCAUGCAAAAAAUUUCAUAUCCAUUUGGUUAAAGACAAAAAAGAAAAGAAGUAAAAAAAAAAGGGGGAACUUUGAGGUCUAAUGAUAACUCACAUGAAUUCAAAACAGGACAAAUCAGAAGUGAUAAUUCGUAAAUAAACACCGUCUCAUUAGCGAAAUAGCACAGCACAUCUACUUCUUCUAAUGCCCAGAGAAAAAGAAAAGAAAAGAAAAGCAAAACAGACCAAAGAUCUCAUCUUGGGUUCGUUGGCUCAGCUUUCUCAAUCUAAACGCAAAGAGAAAUGGAAAACAAAACCCACAAAUCCACAGACCCAUGAAAAGAAUAUACCCAAAUAUGUAAAGUACAUGUCUUUGUGCAAAUCCUACCUCCAGAAUUUUUGUGAGGCA
rnacentral:misc_RNA from 1 species